UUAAGAUUUUCUCCAAUUAUUUCUGAGAACAUCUGGUAUAUGUUUUCAGAAAUAUUUCCUUUAAUGAUUUAGGCGUUACAAUUAUUUUGUCAGACACAAAGAUAUAGGUUAGUAAUCUAAAGAAAGGGGAAGGUCUACUGCUUCAUGGGUUUGUUUAUUUUGCAUUCCUUCUUUUGUUCUUCACUGGAUCACAAGAUUCCAUGGUUUUUAUAUUUUUGUUAACUUGGUGUAGUGUAAAAGUCAAUCCCCCACUUCCUGUUCUGAACUAAUUUGUGUUUUUUAUGGAUGACAGUAAGUAUCAUAUUUCAUCAAUCAUUCUGCUGAGCUUUUACAAAGAAGAACAUCCUCUGAUGCAGACAAAGCAUUAGAACAUAUUAAUGAGGCGUUGAUGAUGAGUAAAUACUCCGAAAAUUUGCUUGAAAUGAAAGCAAAGACUCUUUUAAUGAUAUUAGGAGGUGAUUCAGCUGUGUGAUGAGACACUUGAUUCUGCUGAGAAGAAUGCUGGUUUGCAAGUCACAGAGGAAAGCUUCUACAUCAGAAUAUGGCGGUGCUCAAUGAUCCUUAAAUCCUACUUUCACCUAGGAAAGCUUGAAGAAGGUCUGUCUUUGCUGGUGCAACAAGAGGAAAAGGUGUACACCAUAAGCAAGUAAUUAGUACUAACUUUUUAUCCAUUCACCCACCCUCUGCUCACUUCCCAGGGAGUGGAAGCAAGGUUUUGGAUUCACUCAUACUGUUAGCUGCCACUGUAUGUGAGCUCUUACAUCACAAG